CCUGGCUCAGAUUGAACGCUGGCGGCAGGCCUAACACAUGCAAGUCGAGCGGAUGACAGGAGCUUGCUCCUGAAUUCAGCGGCGGACGGGUGAGUAAUGCCUAGGAAUCUGCCUGGUAGUGGGGGACAACGUUUCGAAAGGAACGCUAAUACCGCAUACGUCCUACGGGAGAAAGCAGGGGACCUUCGGGCCUUGCGCUAUCAGAUGAGCCUAGGUCGGAUUAGCUAGUUGGUGAGGUAAUGGCUCACCAAGGCGACGAUCCGUAACUGGUCUGAGAGGAUGAUCAGUCACACUGGAACUGAGACACGGUCCAGACUCCUACGGGAGGCAGCAGUGGGGAAUAUUGGACAAUGGGCGAAAGCCUGAUCCAGCCAUGCCGCGUGUGUGAAGAAGGUCUUCGGAUUGUAAAGCACUUUAAGUUGGGAGGAAGGGCAUUAACCUAAUACGUUAGUGUUUUGACGUUACCGACAGAAUAAGCACCGGCUAACU
rnacentral:rRNA from 1 species